rnacentral:tRNA from 1 species
GGGGUUGUGGCUCAGUGGUAGAGCGCUUGCCUACACGUGUGAGGCACUGGGUUCAAUCCCCAGCACCA